UGUUGUUUGCUUGUGUCGGUGCCUGAGCCGCACCUUGGUGCGAAGUGAAGCUGUGGUGUAUUUUUGAGAUUUGAAGGAUGUCUUCUUUUGCCUCCCUCUCCAUGAAGCCAACCAGAAAUUUUUUGCAUUCGAAUGGGAACAUCCCAUUCGAUGCAAAACUCAGCUCACAUGGCUUCAGAAACUCGCCCACCCUGUUUGAAGAACAACUUGCAAAGGAUUUGGAAUCCUGGGAAGCUCCACCAGGAGAAGGGAAACUGUUGCAGUAUGUGGAUGAUACCCUAAUAGCUACCUCUACAGAAGAAAGGGACCCUGAAGAGGACUACCAGAAACAAGUAUGCAGGCACAAGGGACUGAAAAGUUAAUUCACAUACGAAGCGGGACAAGGUGGAAGCAGGAAAUGAAUAUGCAUAAAUGUAUUGCAAAGCCUAAUGUAUAUGUAACAUUUUAGAGGAUAACGAAGAAUGCUGAGACCAGGUAGACAUGCCUUUGUGGAGGUAUCCUGCAUGUGUCUGGCUGAAAAUACAUACCUACUUUAUAAGUCA